rnacentral:rRNA from 1 species
GAUGAACGCUGGCGGUAUGCUUAACACAUGCAAGUCGAACGGGGCUCUUCGGAGCUUAGUGGCGGACGGGUGAGUAACGCGUGAGAAUCUGCCUACAGGUUCGGGACAACAGUUGGAAACGACUGCUAAUACCGGAUGUGCCGAGAGGUAAAAGCUUCAUGUGCCUGUAGAUGAGCUCGCGUCCGAUUAGCUAGUUGGUGAGGUAAGGGCUCACCAAGGCGGUGAUCGGUAGCUGGUCUGAGAGGAUGAUCAGCCACACUGGGACUGAGACACGGCCCAGACUCCUACGGGAGGCAGCAUG